CAGUCGAGCGAUUUACUUCGGUAAAGAGCGGCGGACGGGUGAGUAACGCGUGGGUAACCUGCCCUAUACACACGGAUAACAUACCGAAAGGUAUGCUAAUACGAGAUGACAUAAGAGAUUCGCAUGGAUUUCUUAUCAAAGCUUUUGCGGUAUAGGAUGGACCCGCGUCUGAUUAGCUAGUUGGUAAGGUAACGGCUUACCAAGGCGACGAUCAGUAGCCGACCUGAGAGGGUGAUCGGCCACAUUGGAACUGAGACACGGUCCAAGCUCCUACGGGAGGCAGCAGUGGGGAAUAUUGCACAAUGGGCGAAAGCCUGAUGCAGCAACGCCGCGUGAGCGAUGAAGGCCUUCGGGUCGUAAAGCUCUGUCCUCAAGGAAGAUAAUGACGGUACUUGAGGACGAAGCCCCGGCUAACUACGUGCCAGCAGCCGCGGUAAUACGUAGGGGGCUAGCGUUAUCCGGAAUUACUGGGCGUAAAGGGUGCGUAGGUGGUUUCUUAAGUCAGAGGUGAGAGGCUACGGCUCAACCGUAGUAAGCCUUUGAAACUGAGAAACUUGAGUGCAGGAGAGGAGAGUAGAAUUCCUAGUGUAGCGGUGAAAUGCGUAGAUAUUAGGAGGAAUACCAGUUGCGAAGGCGGCUCUCUGGACUGUAACUGACACUGAGGCACGAAAGCGUGGGGAGCAAACAGGAUUAGAUACCCUGGUAGUCCACGCCGUANACGAUGAGUACUAGCUGUCGGAGGUCNCCCCCUUCGGUGGCGCAGCUAACGCAUUAAGUACUCCGCCUGGGAAGUACGCUCGCAAGAGUGAAACUCAAA
rnacentral:rRNA from 1 species